CGUACACGACCGUACCGCAAACCGACACUGGUGCGCGAGAUGAGUAUUCUAAGGCGCUUGAGAGAACUCAGGAGAAGGAACUCGGCAAAUUGACACCGUAACUUCGGAAGAAGGUGUGCCUUUAGUAGGUGAACCUGUACAAGGGGAGCCCAAUGAGGUUGCAAAAAAUCGGUGGCUGCGACUGUUUAAUAAAAACACAGCACUCUGCAAACACGAAAGUGGACGUAUAGGGUGUGACGCCUGCCCGGUGCUGGAAGAUUAAAUGAUGGGGUGCAAGCUCUUGAUUGAAGCCCCAGUAAACGGCGGCCGUAACUAUAACGGUCCUAAGGUAGCGAAAUUCCUUGUCGGGUAAGUUCCGACCUGCACGAAUGGCGUAACGAUGGCCACACUGUCUCCUCCUGAGACUCAGCGAAGUUGAAAUGUUUGUGAUGAUGCAAUCUCCCCGCGGAAAGACGGAAAGACCCCAUGAACCUUUACUGUAGCUUUGUAUUGGACUUUGAACAGAUCUGUGUAGGAUAGGUGGGAGGCUUUGAAGUGUGGUCGCUAGAUCGCAUGGAGCCAACGUUGAAAUACCACCCUGGUGUGUUUGAGGUUCUAACCUAGGCCCGUAAUCCGGGUCGGGGACAGUGCAUGGUAGGCAGUUUGACUGGGGCGGUCUCCUCCCAAAGCGUAACGGAGGAGUUCGAAGGUACGCUAGGUACGGUCGGACAUCGUGCUAAUAGUGCAAUGGCAUAAGCGUGCUUAACUGCGAGACUGACAAGUCGAGCAGAUGCGAAAGCAGGACAUAGUGAUCCGGUGGUUCUGUAUGGAAGGGCCAUCGCUCAACGGAUAAAAGGUACUCUGGGGAUAACAGGCUGAUACCGCCCAAGAGUUCAUAUCGACGGCGGUGUUUGGCACCUCGAUGUCGGCUCAUCUCAUCCUGGGGCUGUAGCCGGUCCCAAGGGUAUGGCUGUUCGCCAUUUAAAGAGGUACGUGAGCUGGGUUUAAAACGUCGUGAGACAGUUUGGUCCCUAUCUUCCGUGGGCGCUGCAGAUUUGAGGAAGCCUGCUCCUAGUACGAGAGGACCGGAGUGGACACACCUCUGGUGUAUCGGUUGUCACGCCAGUGGCAUUGCCGAGUAGCUAUGUGUGGAAGAGAUAACCGCUGAAAGCAUCUAAGCGGGAAACUCGUUUCAAGAUGAGAUCUGCCGGGGCCUUGAGCCCCCUAAAGAGUCGUUCAAGACCAGGACGUUGAUAGGUCGGGUGUGGAAGCGCAGUAAUGCGUUAAGCUAACCGAUACUAAUUGCUCGUGCGGCUUGAUC
rnacentral:rRNA from 1 species